rnacentral:rRNA from 1 species
AGCGAACGCUGGCGGCAGGCCUAACACAUGCAAGUCGAGCGCCCAGCAAUGGGAGCGGCAGACGGGAGAGUAACACGUGGGAACGUACCUUUCAGUUCGGAACAACCAAGGGAAACUUUGGCUAAUACCGGAUACGCCCGUAAGGGGAAAGAUUUAUCGCUGAAAGAUCGGCCCGCGUCUGAUUAGCUUGUUGGUGAGGUAACGGCUCACCAAGGCGACGAUCAGUAGCUGGUCUGAGAGGAUGAUCAGCCUCACUGGGACUGAGACACGGCCCAGACUCCUACGGGAGGCAGCAGUGGGGAAUAUUGGACAAUGGGCGCAAGCCUGAUCCAGCCAUGCCGCGUGGAUGAUGACGGCCCUAGGGUUGUAAAGUCCUUUUAACGGGGAAGAUAAUGACGGUACCCGUAGAAUAAGCCCCGGCUAACUCCGUGCCAGCCGCCGCAGUAA